rnacentral:rRNA from 1 species
CAGUAGCCGCGGGAAUACAGAGGGUGCGAGCGUUAAUCGGAUUUACUGGGCGUAAAGCGUGCGUAGGCGGCUUCUUAAGUCUGAUGUGAAAUCCCUGAGCUUAACUUAGGAAUUGCAUUCGAUACUGGGAAGCUAGAGUAUGGGAGAGGAUGGUAGAAUUCCAGGUGUAGCGGUGAAAUGCGUAGAGAUCUGGAGGAAUACCGAUGGCGAAGGCAGCCAUCUGGCCUAAUACUGACGCUGAGGUACGAAAGCAUGGGGAGCAAACAGGAUUAGAGACCCCAGUAGUCCCUGUCUCUUAUAC